CAAGAUUGAAAGUAAUGCUGGCGAUAACGGAAACGGGCUGUGAGGGAGAAAAAGCAGCUAGAGUCAAUGAUCUGAUUCAUGAAGAAUGUUAGAGACUGGAGAGGAGUGGGAAAUUAAGAAGUCUCUGGGAUCCCCUAACUACUUCCAGCUCUAAAACAGCCAUCCAACGCCAUCUCUUCCUGAAGUGAAAAUGUACCAUUUGGACAGGAACGAGUUAUUAGCCAGAGGAGGGCACCCAUCAAGAUGCUGCAAAUGUAGACGGUGCUUUAACUUUCUCGGUGUUUCCAUUUUUCAUGCCAAAAAAAGGAUCAGUGCCAGCUACAAAACAGCCUUCAAAGGAAAUUGUGCAGGUGCUGGAUUUCUAAGGACUUUGCUGUUAAUCUGUACAUGAAUGGAGAUAGGGUAUAACAAGGUUAGCAAGGCUUAAAAACUGUGAAACUAUUUUAAAAUUCUUAAAAUCCUGAUGCAUAGCAGAAUAUAAUCUUAGAGAUAGGGAG
rnacentral:lncRNA from 1 species